AGGGUAACAGUUAUUAGUAACGUUUGAUUUGCACUCAAAAAAUAUUGACCUAUCAAUUUACCUUG
rnacentral:tRNA from 1 species